UCGUAGUACCCUACCCCCAGGGGAAUUCGAAUCCCCGCUGCCUCCUUGAAAGAGAGAUGUCCUAAACC
rnacentral:tRNA from 1 species